rnacentral:lncRNA from 1 species
AUUAAUAAAAGUCGCAGCAAGGAAAAAAAUUUAUGCAUGGGCCGAUUUACAACAUAGUGCAGCGGCCCACGGCUGGAAUCGGCCCAAGUAUGCGUGUGUGCAAAAUAUACAGAACAUGGCCAAAAUUAGGGGCGGCUAAAAACAUCACGUAAAAUCGAGGUGGCUGGGGCUCAAAGCCAACACCUCGUGGUUAAACCACUGUGCUAUUGCAUCUGAUUGUGACAAAACAUGACAACAAAGCAAAAUAACCCAUCCAACAACAACGGAUCUAGGAAAAAUGAAGCUUCACGUACCGGCUCACAGCAGGGGGGAAAUAGAGGCCAGCGCCAUGGCGAUGCAGAGACGGCGACAGGGGCGGUCCUGGCGGAGAGUGACGGGGGCGAUAUAUAUCGGGGGCUUGGGGCGCCGGAACUUGAGGAGUUGGUCUUGUUCCUGACGAAGGCAGGGCCAGGCGAUGCCAUCGGAGGAGCUCAUCCUCAUGCGGCGACCCACCUUUCCUGUUUAUCCCUGAAGAAAACAGAAACGACCGGGGGGUUCAAGGAGAGUGAAGGACCAGGAGAGUAAGGAGGGGAGAGGAGAGGGGGCAUGGCCAUAGGUCUGCAGGUGCUCCGGCGAGCUGGCGCCCAACUGCUGGUCGCCGAAGCUGCACGGGCUCUGGCUAUGGGGUGAGCUCCUGCGGAGACGGCGAAGAACUGUGGUUGUUCCUGCUUGGCGCGACACAGGAGAGGAGGUGGGUUGCAGAGAAGGCGGCUCUGCAGGCACGUGGACACAGGGAGGUGCAAGCGAUGCACGCGUCCUGUGGCUCUGCUUGCCCGGUGGAGGAGGUCGAGGCGCAGGGAGCUGCUGAAUGGAGCAUUGGAGGCAGGCACGGGCGAGGGAUUGGGUUGGCUGGCUGGAUUUGAGCGUUGAUUUGCUCGAUGUAGAAAUCGAGGGGAAGGUGGAUGCUUCUGCUCAGCUCGGGAUCUGGGAGGAUUCGGAGGUGGGAGGCGAGUGAUGGCUUAUUGGCGGUGGCUAUGGGACAAGACCCUAAAUUUAGGGUUGCUACACAUAUAUGGCAAGAUGGGCUAGGGUUAGGGGAUUUCAGUCCGAUUUCGAACCAUUGGAUCGCGAUCCGAUGGCUCCGAUCAGAG